CCUACGGGGUGCAGCAGUGGGGAAUAUUGCACCAUGGGGGAAACCCUGAUGCAGCAACGCCGCGUGAGUGAAGAAGUAUUUCGGUAUGUAAAGCUCUAUCAGUAGGGAAGAAGAAAGACGGUACCUGACUAAGCAGCCCCGGCUAACUACGUGCCAGCAGCCGCGGUAAUACGUAGGUGGCAAGCGUUAUCCGGAUUUACUGGGUGUAAAGGGAGCGUAGACGGCUGUGCAAGUCUGAAGUGAAAACCACGGGCUCAACCUGUGGCCUGCAUUUGAAACUGUUUUUCUUGAGUACUGGAGAGGCAGACGGAAUUCCUAGUGUAGCGGUGAAAUGCGUAGAUAUUAGGAGGAACACCAGUGGCGAAGGCGGUCUGCUGGACAGCAACUGACGCUGAGGCGCGAAAGCGUGGGGAGCAAACAGGAUUAGAUACCCUGGUAGUC
rnacentral:rRNA from 1 species